rnacentral:rRNA from 1 species
CCUUAAUGCGGGAUGCUACUGACGGUAUCUGCAGAAUAAGCACCGGCUAACUACGUGCCAGCAGCCGCGGUAAUACGUAGGGUGCAAGCGUUAAUCGGAAUUACUGGGCGUAAAGCGUGUGUAGGCGGUUCGGAAAGAAAGAUGUGAAAUCCCAGGGCUCAACCUUGGAACUGCAUUUUUAACUGCCGAGCUAGAGUAUGUCAGAGGGGGGUAGAAUUCCACGUGUAGCAGUGAAAUGCGUAGAUAUGUGGAGGAAUACCGAUGGCGAAGGCAGCCCCCUGGGAUAAUACUGACGCUCAGACACGAAAGCGUGGGGAGCAAACCAGGAUUAGAUACCCUGGUAGUCCACGCCCUAAACGAUGUCAACUAGCUGUUGGGGCCGUUAGGCCUUAGUAGCGCAGCUAACGCGUGAAGUUGACCGCCUGGGGAGUACGGUCGCAAGAUUAAAACUCAAAGGAAUUGACGGGGACCCGCACAAGCGGUGGAUGAUGUGGAUUAAUUCGAUGCAACGCGAAAAACCUUACCUACCCUUGACAUGUCUGGAAUGCCGAAGAGAUUUGGCAGUGCUCGCAAGAGAACCGGAACACAGGUGCUGCAUGGCUGUCGUCAGCUCGUGUCGUGAGAUGUUGGGUUAAGUCCCGCAACGAGCGCAACCCUUGUCAUUAGUUGCUACGCAAGAGCACUCUAACGAGACUGCCGGUGACAAACCGGAGGAAGGUGGGGAUGACGUCAAGUCCUCAUGGCCCUUAUGGGUAGGGCUUCACACGUCAUACAAUGGUCGGGACAGAGGGUCGCCAACCCGCGAGGGGGAGCCAAUCUCAGAAACCCGAUCGUAGUCCGGAUCGCAGUCUGCAACUCGACUGCGUGAAGUCGGAAUCGCUAGUAAUCGCGGAUCAGAAUGUCGCGGUGAAUACGUUCCCGGGUCUUGCACACACCGCCCGUCA